rnacentral:rRNA from 1 species
UACGUAGGUGACAAGCGUUGUCCGGAUUUACUGGGCGUAAAGAGCGCGCAGGCGGUCGUUCAAGUCGAGUGUGAAAGCCCCCGGCUCAACUGGGGAGGGUCACUCGAUACUGAUCGACUCGAAGGCAGGAGAGGGAAGUGGAAUUCCCGGUGUAGUGGUGAAAUGCGUAGAUAUCGGGAGGAACACCAGUGGCGAAGGCGACUUCCUGGCCUGUUCUUGACGCUGAGGCGCGAAAGCUGGGGGAGCAAACGGG